AUGUAAUAGUAGUUAAUGAAUAUUUGAUUACAGAACAAUUCCCAAGGGUACUUUUAAAAGCUUUAAAUAGCGCCUGCUCAAGAGCAUUGGUGAAAUUGAUAUCUAAAGAUAAAGGGAUAAUUGAUUUAUGUAGGAAAAUUAUAGAAAAGUUUGUAAAAAUAUGGAAGAUCAAAGGAAACACCGAAAUCACUUAAUUAGGUGAUAACUGAAUUUAAAAAUUCAUUGAAAUAGGUGAUAAUGAAAUCACUUGUUUAAGGAGCACCCCUGACUGUUAAAUUAUGGUUUUAUGAAUAGGUAAUUAUAUAUAAGACAAUAAUAUUAAAGACACACAAUUAAACACUCUGUGGUCA
rnacentral:lncRNA from 1 species